CUGGGAAAAAUAAUUUAUUUAUAAAACAAAAACUUAAAUAAACUUAUCUAGGCUUUUUAUAUUGUACAACAUUGAAUGACAGUUGAGAAUAUUGACCGCAUUCACCUUUUACUCAACCUUUUCAUAGUUUUUUCACUAAGGGAACCACUAUAAAAUACAUACAGUACUGUAUAAAUAGAUGGUACUAUUGAUCACCUGUUAUCGCGAUAUUUACAUUAAACGAUCGAGCUCUUUUGGUCAUACUCGAUUGACAGAUAUUCUUCAGACCUCGACUGAACACCAGUCGCGACUUCUCGGCCAUUCUCACUACAUCUUUAUGGGUGAAGCAAAAAUAGAAAAGUAGUUGUACUGGGCAUUGUUCGAUAAAAUAUCUUUCAAUCAUUUGACAAGUCUCAAAACUCAUUCGAUCUUAUUAAUUAAAGGAGCGACAAAAACUACUACACACACUGAUCUUUAAAUUGGGGUUUUUAAUAAGCGGUACUUAAAGUCUCUUUCAAACGAAAUCUCACUUGACUUUUAUAUAGUCACAUUUAUUCAGCCCAAUAUUUAAAAUACAUAAAAAAAAUUAAAACAAUUGGGGAAAAAAACAUUCAAAUUAAAAAAUGAACAGUGAGAAAUGCCACAAAUUAAU
rnacentral:lncRNA from 1 species